rnacentral:rRNA from 1 species
UCGAGGAUCUUCGUCAAUGGGCGCAAGCCUGAACGAGCGAUGCCGCGUGAGCGAUGAAGGCCUUCGGGUUGUAAAGCUCAAAAGGGGUGAGAAAGGGCAACUUGAUCGAACCCCAGUAAGCUCGGGCUAAGUUCGUGCCAGCAGCCGCGGUAAGACGAACCGAGCGAACGUUGUUCGGAAUCACUGGGCUUAAAGGGCGCGUAGGCGGGUGCUCAAGUCCGGGGUGAAAUCCUCCAGCUCAACUGGAGAACUGCCUCGGAUACUGGGUGCCUCGAGGGUGGCAGGGGUAUGCGGAACUAUCGGUGGAGCGGUGAAAUGCGUUGAUAUCGAUAGGAACUCCGGUGGCGAAGGCGGCAUACUGGUCCACUUCUGACGCUGAGGCGCGAAAGCCAGGGGAGCAAACG